rnacentral:misc_RNA from 1 species
GGAUCACCUCCUUAAUCGACGACAUCAGCCUGCUGAUGAGCUCCCACACGAAUUGCUUGAUUCAUUGUGUAAAGACGAUGCURURACGYAUCSCUGUMUAUGUCUGUAG